CCUACGGGAGGCAGCAGUGAGGAAUAUUGGUCAAUGGCCGGAAGGCUGAACCGGCCAUGCCGCGUGAAGGUCAGUGCCCUAUGGGCGUUAAACUUCUUUUGUGCGGGAGCAAUAAUGGUCACGUGUGGCCAGACGAGAGUACCGUACGAAUAAGCAUCGGCUAACUCCGUGCCAGCAGCCGCGGUAAUACGGGGGAUGCAAGCGUUAUCCGGAUUUAUUGGGUUUAAAGGGUGCGUAGGCUGUGAGGUAAGUCAGCGGUGAAAUGCCCCCGCUCAACGGGGUGAAGUGCCAUUGAUACUGCCUGGCUGGAAUGCGGAUGCCGUGGGAGGAAUGUGUGGUGUAGCGGUGAAAUGCAUAGAUAUCACACAGAACACCGAUUGCGAAGGCAUCUCACGAAUCCGCGAUUGACGCUGAUGCACGAAAGCGUGGGUAUCAAACAGGAUUAGAUACCCGGGUAGUC
rnacentral:rRNA from 1 species